UACGUAGGGGGCAAGCGUUGUCCGGAUUUAUUGGGCGUAAAGAGCGUGUAGGCGCCAGACAGGUCCGUUGUGAAAACUAGAGGCUUAACCUCUAGACGUCGAUGGAAACCGUCUGGCUAGAGUCCGGAAGAGGAGAAUGGAAUUCCUGGUGUAGCGGUGAAAUGCGCAGAUAUCAGGAAGAACACCCGUGGCGUAAGGCGGUCUC
rnacentral:rRNA from 1 species